UCUUCUUUUAUUCCUCAUGUCAGUCUGUGCUGUAUCUAGCGUCUAUGAGAGUACAGAGUUGGAUUCUGGAGGGUAAAGGAGGGCUCUCUCAGCAUCUCCCUUCAGCCUCGCCAGCUCUCCCAUCUGCCCCGUGGGAAUGACUGUAUGUCUCCUGGCACCGUCACAUCCUUGCUGUCAGUGCACCCAUCGGAGGAUCACUUUGAACCUUUGUACCUGUGACACUUUGUGACUGUCAGAGCGCCUGCAUUUCUGAAGUCUGAGGAGGUUUGGCAGCUUCUGACAUUUUCCCUUUCUUCCAAAUUUCAUAGGUUUGGUAUCUGUUUUCUGGCCAUUGACUAAGCUUUCUUUCUUUCUUUUCAUUGAUUUUAGUAGGUUUUA
rnacentral:lncRNA from 1 species